rnacentral:rRNA from 1 species
UACGAAGGGGGCUAGCGUUGUUCGGAUUUACUGGGCGUAAAGGGCGCGCAGGCGGCUCAUUUUGUCAGGCGUGAAAGCCCCGGGCUUAACCUGGGAACUGCGUUUGAUACGGAUGGGCUAGAGUUCGGGAGAGGAGAGUGGAAUUCCCAGUGUAGAGGUGAAAUUCGUAGAUAUUGGGAAGAACACCGGUGGCGAAGGCGGCUCUCUGGACCGAGACUGACGCUGAGGCGCGAAAGCGUGGGGAGCAAACAGGG